rnacentral:rRNA from 1 species
GCAAGUCGUGCGAGAAAGUUCUUCGGAUAUGAGUAGAGCGGCGGACGGGUGAGUAACGCGUAGGAAUCUACCUAGUAGAAGGGGAUAGCCCGGGGAAACCCGGAUUAAUACCGUAUACCUCCUUCGGGAGAAAGAAGGCCUCUCUUUGAAGCUUUCGCUACUAGAUGAGCCUGCGUAAGAUUAGCUUGUUGGUGAGGUAAAGGCUCACCAAGGCUACGAUCUUUAGCUGGUCUGAGAGGACGAUCAGCCACAUUGGGACUGAGACACGGCCCAGACUCCUACGGGAGGCAGCAGUGGGGAAUAUUGGACAAUGGGCGCAAGCCUGAUCCAGCCAUACCGCGUGUGUGAAGAAGGCCUUCGGGUUGUAAAGCACUUUAAGCAGGGAGAAAAAGUUAUAAGCUAAUACCUUAUGACCUUGAUGUUACCUGCAGAAUAAGCACCGGCUAAUUCCGUGCCAGCAGCCGCGGUAAUACGGAAGGUGCAAGCGUUAAUCGGAAUUACUGGGCGUAAAGCGCGCGUAGGUGGUUUGUUAAGUUGGAUGUGAAAGCCCUGGGCUCAACCUAGGAACUGCAUCCAAAACUAACUCACUAGAGUACGAUAGAGGGAGGUAGAAUUCAUAGUGUAGCGGUGGAAUGCGUAGAUAUUAUGAAGAAUACCAGUGGCGAAGGCGGCCUCCUGGAUCUGUACUGACACUGAGGUGCGAAAGCGUGGGUAGCGAACAGGAUUAGAUACCCUGGUAGUCCACGCCGUAAACGAUGACAACUAGCUGUUGGGAGACUAUGUCUUUCAGUGGUGCAGCUAACGCUAUAAGUUGUCCGCCUGGGGAGUACGGCCGCAAGGCUAAAACUCAAAUGAAUUGACGGGGACCCGCACAAGCGGUGGAGCAUGUGGUUUAAUUCGAUGCAACGCGAAAAACCUUACCUA